UUGUGAUAAAAAUUCAGACAGUUAAUAUAUUUUAAUAUUUUUAUCAGUCAGAUGUGCAGUUUUUCACUCCCGUCCACUGACCACAACAUGGAAAUACACGUGUUGGCACUAGCUCUUUUGUCGACGUACUCAAUUCUGAUUACCAUUCUUUGCAUUGUUUUAGCAAUUCAAAGACACCACAGAAAUUUAAUAAACCAAGGAGACAACUUGAAAACUUUACAUAAAGAAAACCUUCUUAACGUCUUGUCUAACCUACUGACGAAAGUCUACACGUGUGAACAAACAACUCAGCACUCCUUAGACAACCCUCGAGAUUUUUUUUUUCGAAAACUUUCCAAAAUCCUUGAUGACAGUGAAUUAUAUAACUGUGCAGGGGGAAGAAAUUGUCGGUAUGAGGAAAAAGACACAGAUCCAUUUAUUUAUUCAAGCGAAUACGCAACUGUGGUAAUGAAAAAUGAAACACGAAUUUCUUUUGGAACUACAGAUCAUUUAGAGUUUUUUCAAUUGUGUGAGAAUGGGACCACCAGUUCUGAAUCUAACACUAGUGCGUACCUAGAACCCAAGCAGUUCUCCCCAAAACCUGAUUGUCCACCAAAUCUUCGAAACUUAUGUUACACCGACAAGCGAUUUUUUAGUUUGUAGUGUGCUGGGAUCACAGUUCUUGGCCAAAAUUUAAAUAUUUCCUGCGUUUCAGAAUCAGUUUCAAUUUCGUCGGAAAGUUUGGCUUGUCACAGCGUAAACAUACUUGGAACUACAUACUUACUAACAUAAUCAACAUUGUUAUCUAAUUCAUAUCAAAGAUCUUUCCUUAUAUUUUAUUUAUUUUAAGAAAAAAAUAAACUUGCGAUAAGAAUUCAAAUAUAUUCAGGAUCGUUGUCAGUCAAGGGUACAGUUUUCCACUUCUUUCCACUGACCAAAAUAUGGAAAUACAUGCGUUGGCACUAGAUUUUUUGUCAGCGUACGCAAUUCUGAUGACAGUUGUCUGCAUUAUUCUAGCAAUUCAAAGAAACUACAGAAAUGUAUGCCGUUUUUCAACAAACCAAGAAGACAAGUGUACAACUUUGGAUAAAGAAAGCCUUCGUAACGUCUUGUCUGAUCGACUGACGACAGUAUAUGAACAGACAGCUAAGGAAAAGUCCUUAAACAACCCUCGAGACUUCUUCCUCGAGCAUCUUUCCAGAGUAGUUGAUAACAGUGUGCUGGAGGGAAAAAGCGCCAACACGAGGAAAAAAAAGCACAGAUGGAUUUAAAACCUGAUGAAGACGAGUAUAUGAAAAUGAAAACAAAGUCCUUGAGAAGUCAAUAAGAUUUUCUUUUGGGUCGAGGGGUCACUUAAAGUUUUUUCGUUUCUAUGAGAAUGGAACUACCUAUUCUGAAUCUAACACUAGGUACUACACUAGAA